UGGACCCAAUGAUCAGGAGGCAGAGAUUAUUACAACAACACAACAUAAGGAGCUAACAGAUUGGCAUCCCAUCCAGAUUGCUGGCAGCAUCCGUGUUUUUGGAAUUGAUAUCAAUAUUAAUAUCCCUGUUGGACUACUAAUCCGUGUCGCUGGUGGAUGCUUUGGCUUACUCAUAAUCGCAGUCCUGGCGUUAUACAUUCGAUACUGCAACAAGCAUGUAAGAGAUUUAAGAGAAGCCGAGGAAGAGCUGCGCUGCCUCCAAGUUGUUGUACAAGGUGGCAAAAUACAGAGGCCACAAGAAGACACAAAGGAAAAGGAUGAUACUCCUACUAAAGAAAUAGAAAAUCAGGGGAAGGAAGUAUCUGUGCCUACCAUUAAAGCUGAACCCCCGAAUUAGAUUUGUGCUGAUACAGAGAAAGAGAUAACAUAAAGUAAGUACAAAUGGAAUGAAAAAUGAACCACAGGUUAAGAGUAGUUGAUAUGGAUUGAAUUUGUAUGUCUCAUAGUUUGGAGCUUGGUUGUUGUAUUGUCAGGGCCAGUGCAGAAUGGAUACAGGUAUUUAAAAGUGCAAAGGGAACAUGUGAAAUGUAGGGCUCCCUUUAAGGCAUUUUGGUAAGAAUUGAGGAUCUAAUCUAAAGGAAAAAUAAAACUAAA